rnacentral:rRNA from 1 species
AGCGGCGGAUGGGUGAGUAACACGUGGGGAACCUGCCCCUAAGUCUGGGAUACCAUUUGGAAACAGGUGCUAAUACCGGAUAAUAAAGCAGAUCGCAUGAUCAGCUUUUGAAAGGCGGCGUAAGCUGUCGCUAAGGGAUGGCCCCGCGGUGCAUUAGCUAGUUGGUAAGGUAACGGCUUACCAAGGCGACGAUGCAUAGCCGAGUUGAGAGACUGAUCGGCCACAUUGGGACUGAGACACGGCCCAAACUCCUACGGGAGGCAGCAGUAGGGAAUCUUCCACAAUGGACGCAAGUCUGAUGGAGCAACGCCGCGUGAGUGAAGAAGGUUUUCGGAUCGUAAAGCUCUGUUGUUGGUGAAGAAGGAUAGAGGUAGUAACUGCCUUUAUUUGACGGUAAUCAACCAGAAAGUCACGGCUAACUACGUGCCAGCAGCCGCGGUAAUACGUAGGUGGCAAGCGUUGUCCGGAUUUAUUGGGCGUAAAGCGAGCGCAGGCGGAAAAAUAAGUCUAAUGUGAAAGCCCUCGGCUUAACCGAGGAACUGCAUCGGAAACUGUUUUUCUUGAGUGCAGAAGAGGAGAGUGGAACUCCAUGUGUAGCGGUGGAAUGCGUAGAUAUAUGGAAGAACACCAGUGGCGAAGGCGGCUCUCUGGUCUGCAACUGACGCUGAGGCUCGAAAGCAUGGGUAGCGAACAGGAUUAGAUACCCUGGUAGUCCGUGCCGUAAACGAUGAGUGCUAAGUGU